rnacentral:rRNA from 1 species
AGCGAACGCUGGCGGCAGGCCUAACACAUGCAAGUCGAACGAAGUCUUCGGACUUAGUGGCGGACGGGUGAGUAACACGUGGGAACGUGUCUUUAGGUUCGGAAUAACUCAGGGAAACUUGUGCUAAUACCGAAUGUGCCCUUCGGGGGAAAGAUUUAUCGCCUUUAGAGCGGCCCGCGUCUGAUUAGCUAGCUGGUGAGGUAAAGGCUCACCAAGGCUACGAUCAGUAGCUGGUCUGAGAGGAUGACCAGCCACAUUGGGACUGAGACACGGCCCAAACUCCUACGGGAGGCAGCAGUGGGGAAUCUUGCGCAAUGGGCGAAAGCCUGACGCAGCCAUGCCGCGUGGAUGAUGAAGGUCUUAGGAUUGUAAAAUCCUUUCACCGGUGAAGAUAAUGACUGUAGCCGGAGAAGAAGCCCCGGCUAACUUCGUGCCAGCAGCCGCCGUAAGAC